AACUAAUUUUUAUGCGAAGAAUCUUCUCGAAGCUGUGGCCUUUCUAAGAAAAAAAUAUCAACAACUAGUGUAUAUGUAAGUCAAACAAAUCGCGUAGUAUAGACUCAGCAUUGGUAAGAUAGACUUCCUUCGACCAUAGUUCUGCUUGUCUUCAAUAAUAGACUCGCAAGAUAGCAUCGUGUCCCGCGUGUCCGUAUUCGGAACACUUGGCGAGUAACGUUACAAACGAUAAAGCAGCGACAUCGACAAGUAGGUCGGAAUAUUACUUGGGUGUAACGUCGUCAACGUUUGGAUGAGCAACAAAAGAUUUCAUACAGAGUGCGAUUGGAAGUAUAGAAAUGUACAGGUUGAUUUCCCAAGAAUAGGUUAGUCUCGACUUUGAAAAUUCAUUGCGUACAUAUCAUCGCCUUGCUGGAAGCGAGUGACUCUAUUAGGAAAGGAUAUUAUGCGGAAGAAUUUCUUUCGGAAUACAAUUUUUCAAAUGUUAUAGAAAAUAACUAGUAGCUUGAUUAUUUAACGAUGGACAAAUAAUUUUUAUAAAUUCUAGUAUUAGUCUUUGGAUUUCUAAGAUCUUUCUAAAAUAUCUAUUAUAUAAAUAUAUGUAAGUUUGUAUUGUUUAUAUUGUUAACGAAAAGGUUAGAAUAAUCUUUGAAUUAUGAUAUUCUUGUUAUACAAUGUAAUUUUGUAUAACAUAAAAGAAUGUUACUUCCAUCUUCCUUUUGAAUUAAAAUAAAACACUUGCUUGGAAGAGAUGAAACAAAUUUUCUUCCUUUAUAAAUUAUCCUCGAUAGACUCUAAUUACGAUUAACAUACGCUGACUACAUUACUAGAGAGAAUCUUUUUAAAAAA
rnacentral:misc_RNA from 1 species